rnacentral:rRNA from 1 species
CCUACGGGUGGCAGCAGUAGGGAAUUUUCGGCAAUGGGGGGAACCCUGACCGAGCAACGCCGCGUUAACGAAGAAGUUAUUCGUAAUGUAAAGUUCUUUUAACAGGGAAGAAAAAGACAUUUCACGUUACCUGAAGAAUAACCCCCGGCUAACUACGUGCCGGCAGCCGCGGUAAGCCGUAGGGAGCGUGCGUUAUACGGAAUUAUUGGGCGUAAGGGGUGCGUAGAUGGCAUAGAAAGUCUUUUGUAAAAGUGCUGGGCUCAACCCAGUAGGGCAAAAGAUACUGCAUAGCUAGAGUAUGACAGAGGCAAGUGGAACUACAUGUGUAGCGGUGAAAUGCGUAAAUAUAUGUAAGAACACCAGUGGCGAAGGCGGCUUGCUGGGUCGAUACUGACAUUGAGGCACGAAAGCGUGGGGAGCAAACAGGAUUAGAUACCCGGGUAGUC